AACGAACGCUGGCGGCAUGCCUAACACAUGCAAGUCGAACGAGACCUUCGGGUCUAGUGGCGCAUGGGUGCGUAACGCGUGGGAACCUGCCCUUAGGUUCGGAAUAACUCCCCGAAAGGGGUGCUAAUACCGGAUAAUGUCUUCGGACCAAAGAUUUAUCGCCUUUGGAUGGGCCCGCGUUGGAUUAGCUAGUUGGUAGGGUAAAAGCCUACCAAGGCGACGAUCCAUAGCUGGUCUGAGAGGAUGAUCAGCCACACUGGGACUGAGACACGGCCCAGACUCCUACGGGAGGCAGCAGUGGGGAAUAUUGGACAAUGGGCGAAAGCCUGAUCCAGCAAUGCCGCGUGAGUGAUGAAGGCCUUAGGGUUGUAAAGCUCUUUUACCCGGGAUGAUAAUGACAGUACCGGGAGAAUAAGCUCCGGCUAACUCCG
rnacentral:rRNA from 1 species